CCUAGUUCUGAGUCAUUGAGACUGGUAUGUUCCACAUGGGCCACACCAUCACCUGCCGUUGUAUGCACGGGAGCUCAUCAGACAGGCAAGCCAACAGAGCACCAACUCGAGGAGUGGCAUGGUGACGUCCUUUGGCACACUGGGCAGUGACAGAAAUCUCCAUAAGCAGAAGAGAUAUAAGCCUACACUCUAAGUGCUGCCCUGUUGAUCUAUCAUGUCUGCAUGGUAGAUAUAUGCAGUUCAUGGUCCACCUACAAUAUUGUCAUCAAUGGGUUUAUUGGGACAUAGCCUCAUGAUGGACUUGCCACCAGUGCAUUAUGGCGUGUGAAUCUCUACCCUGGCACAUGAAUCCUGGAAUAAUUCUGUGAAAAGAGGAACCCUGC